rnacentral:rRNA from 1 species
UAGCUUGAUCCUGGCUCAGAACGAACGCUGGCGGCGUGGAUAAGACAUGCAAGUCGAACGCUUGCUAUAGGGUAGCAAUAUUCUGUAGUAGGAGUGGCGGAAGGGUGCGUAACAUGUGGGUAAUCUGCCGUGAAGACUGGGAUAACUUGCUGAAAGGCGAGCUAAUACCGGAUGCGAUAGCCGAGGGGCAGCUUUUGGUUAUCAAAGUUGGGGACUGUAAAAGGCCUAACGCUUCAUGAUGAGCCCGCAACCUAUCAGCUAGUUGGUGAGGUAAUGGCUCACCAAGGCUAAGACGGGUAGCUGGUCUGAGAGGACGACCAGCCACACUGGAACUGAGACACGGUCCAGACACCUACGGGUGGCAGCAGUCGAGAAUUUUUCACAAUGGGCGCAAGCCUGAUGGAGCGACGCCGCGUGGGGGAUGAAGGGCUUCGGUCCGUAAACCCCUGUCAUUUGCGAACAAAGCUGCUGGCCUAAUACGCUAGUAGUUGAUAGUAGCAAAAGAGGAAGGGACGGCUAACUCUGUGCCAGCAGCCGCGGUAAUACAGAGGUCCCAAGCGUUGUUCGGAUUUACUGGGCGUAAAGGGUGCGUAGGUGGCGGGGUAAGUCUGGUGUGAAAUCUCCGAGCUCAUCUCGGAAAAGCAUUGGAAACUAUCCCACUUGAGGGUCGGAGGGGAGACUGGAAUUCUCGGUGUAGCAGUGAAAUGCGU